UACGUAGGGGGCAGGCGUUGUCCGGAUUUAUUGGGCGUAAAGAGCGUGUAGGCGGCCAGGUAGGUCUGCUGUGAAAACUCGAGGCUCAACCUCGAGACGUCGGCGGAAACCAUCUGGCUAGAGUCCGGAAGAGGAGAGUGGAAUUCCUGGUGUAGCGGUGAAAUGCGCAGAUAUCAGGAAGAACACCAAUGGCGAAAGCAGCUUUCUGGGACGGUACUGACGCUGAGACGCGAAAGCGUGGGGAGCGAACAGG
rnacentral:rRNA from 1 species